rnacentral:lncRNA from 1 species
CUCAGGCCUGAUAGGAUCUGUCCUGGUUCUGGAAUGUUUAAGUUGUUCUAGUGAAAGGUAUCUCAAUUCAGAGGUACCCGAAUUAGAGGUACCCACUUAUGGGUGGGUAAAUUACUGCAAGAGAAGAUCAAGGAAGUCACUCGCCAUCUGUGAGGGAGGCAGCGGAGCCCCAGAGGCACUGGGGAGAGGCAGCUGGGCCUCGAGCUUGUGGUUGCAGAUUGGAGCUGGCCAGGGCAGAGAUGCUGUGCUGAGAUGGAAGCGGUGGCAGCUGAAACCUGGAUAAUUAGAGCCGGCCGAACACCUUUUGACAAGGAUCAUAAAGACUUUUGCAAACAUUAAUUAAUGUCCCCACCCGGUGAAGAAAGAGCAACUUAUUUUCCAAGUGCAUCAAGGGAAGGCCUAGGCAAUAAGGUCCUGAUGGAUUUUCAACAAUAAGCUGAAAGGCUCUUUCAGAUUCCAAUUUCUUAGUGAGAAAAAAAGCCAAAGCCAAACAAUUCCUAAAAUGGCAAAAACCAGUUCUCCCAGUGCCCCAGCGGGCCUGCUGGGCCGUUCACCUUUGCUUUCAAACAUCCAGUUCCGAGGCAGACGCGAAACCCUGCACCCUCCAGCUUGGCUCCCUCAGGCCUGGACCCCCCCUGACACCCACAUGAAAGAGGAAAAGAGGCGCUUCCCCAUCUCUGCACAGCUCACCAUCAGAGAUCCGAGCUGCUCGGCCCUCUCCCCUCACCCUGGGCUCCCCUUUUUGCCCUGUUCCAAAGCUUCCCGCCUUCGAUCUCAUAAGGCGGCCACCUGGCCCCUCAGCCCCAUGUGUGGCUUUGACCUUCACUCGCUCCUUGGUCACAGUCCCAGGCUCCAUCUGGUUUGAGCUGACCUGUGUGAAUGCCCCACCCAGCGAGUGGCUCGCCCAGUCAUGUGUCACCCCAUGCCUGCCUGCUGGGCAAGUGAUACCAGCUCAAACGCGGGCAGACCUGUCUGCUUUUCUUGUGGUUCUCUCUGCUCAGCACUGGCCUGCUUCCUGUGGGCAGCAUCACUCUCCUUCAUGAGUGCCCAUCCCUGGGCUGCUCUCACUGGACGAUAGAGUGCAGGCUUCUGCUGUAACCACUGAAUUCCACCUCCGUUUCCAACCGGCCGUGUUGACUAUUCCCAGAAGUUUCCCCAAAUGAACUCUGACCGCAUCAAAGGGAGUUUACAAAACAGGGUCAAAGCUUCAUACGCCUUGGGUCUUUCUUGUCACACUCAACUAAAACAGAGUCCAGAGGUUGCGGGUAAAGCGCUUGAGGCACAAGACGUUCCUUCAAGCAUACGAUUCUCUGCAGACCUGGCUGCUGGAACUGCCAGGUGUAACCUGAAACCAGUUUUAUCUAACAGCCACUGGAACAACCUGCUGAAAUCUAACACCAUCACCCACAAAUCAGUGUUCGCCAGCAUCCCCAAAACCUUACUAGUGCCAAGGAACUUUAUUUCAAAACAAUACACAGCAUUUCUCCUCUUCAUAAAACCUCCAAACUUCUCUGUUCUUUGGACAUACGAGAGGCCACCGUUCUGUGUCUAUCCCCCGAACUGCAGUUGUUGCUUCCCAAAUAAAACAUGUUAAACUCAGAGAUUUAUCUCUAUGU